AUCUCUGUUUAGACAAGUUUCAGGCUUUCCUAAGACGCAGCCUCUGCAACCAAUACCAGAGCAAGCCCUCAGGUAAAAAUUUAUAUAUUGUACGUGUUUUCCCCUCUCCAGGGAAUACCAGGCCUUUUUUUAAAAACAAAUAUAGGUAACUGUGGAAUCCCAAUGGGGACAAAAUCCACUUUCAUACUGCAAGUUCCCCCGUCACGAAUAAGUUUUGCAGUAAGGAAGCAACAGUCAGAAUAAUGUUACAAAUGGAUGUAUUGAAACAUGUGGUUUGGUCCAAAUAUAUACAGUCAUACCUCGGCUCCCGAAUGAUCAAAACCCGGAAGUGAGUGUUCCGGUUUUUGAACAUUCUUUCGGAAGCUGAACGUCCGAUGGGGCUUUCGCAGCCAAUCAGAAGCCAGGCUUUGGAAGUUGAAUGUUUUGGAAGUCAAACGGAUUUCCAGAACGGAUUCUGUUUGACUUCCUCGAUACGACUGUACUUCAAUUGGCUAUAGACUUUUAACUCAUUUUCUGUGACUAGCUGCCCCUUUCCCUCUGCUACAAGCAUUAUUUUGCUACCCACCCACCCCAACUGAUCAAUCACCUUUUCAGUCAAUAAAUAAAGCAAAAGGAUGAGUGAAAUAACCCACCACUUUGGAGGGACUACUAUAGUUUAGCUUAUUGAGGUUGUGGCUACUGAAGUACUAUUGGCGUCAGUAAGCCUAAAGCCACUGGGUUUCUGCAGUUGCAGAGUACAUAAUGUCUUUCUACAUUGGAAAUGGUGAGCCAGUCAGAAUCAUUAAAUUAUGUGUCUAUCUUCCCUUCCACAGUUAAUUCCACUUGCAAAGUGUGCCCUGUACAAUGGCAGCUCCACAGGGACAAAUGCUACUGGCAAUCGGAAGAUACUAAAACCUGGAAUGAGAGCCAACAUGACUGUUCAACAAGGGAUUCUCAUCUGCUGGUCAUCCAAGACAAACUUGAGAUGGUCAGGAACAAUGAUAUAUUUCAUGCAAUGCAUGAAGGAAGCCUGAGUCCAAUUGCGUUUAAUUCUAACUUAGUAACUCGACAAUGGUAUCAUGCUUUGUGACUUGAGAAGCUUGUGGAGUGCAGGACCUUGUUUAGUAUUUCAUCCCAUUCCCACCCAAGGCCAGUUCAUCAGUGUCUAGAUAGGGCCUUGGGGAACUUGACUAGUGAGAACCAAAGCAGUAAGUUGCAAGCAAAUUCAUGUAACUGUAGCCCAACUCCUCUUUUUAUUUAGAAAGUCUUUUCAGAAGGGUGCGGUUGAUAGUGGAGUUUAUAUUAAAAUUUAUUUUGAUG